UAAAUAUUUAAACUCUAGCAGCGAAAUUCCGCAGAUGGCGUCCAAUUUAUAAUUAUGCGUAGUACGCAUACACGUAUACAUUGAAAUUUCGAUAUUAUUAUUAAUUUUAUUUUAUGAGACGACAUACGUAUCUAACAAAUUAGUAAAUGUAAUGAAAAUCAAGGACUAUGGAGAGAUUGAGGUUUUAUAAACCGCUAUACAAAAUGAAUAAUAUCUACUUGAAUUUGUCAGGUUAAUUCAAUCUAGUUUGCUACAUGUGAUGAAUAGGAAAUGAGAGUUCUGCGUCACUAUAUAGUAUAUAUAAAUCCCUCUCUAUGUGAGGGAUGAUAAGGAAUGAUGAAUUUCCAUCAGUUUUCAAGAAUGAAUUGGAAGGAACACUUGCAAAACAUUUAUUUUGAUUUGAAAAGUCCUAUCAGCUAUGCUGGACCAAGCAAAAUAUACAGAUACUUGAAGAAAGAAGGGAAAUUUAAGGUUGGAAUGCAUAGUAUUCGACAGUGGUUACAGAAUAUUGAUGCCUACAGUCUGCAGCGCCCAUUACGUUACAAAUUUAAAACAAGAAAGGUAAUUUCACAAGGACUAGACGCUCUUUGGGAUGUUGAUUUAGCUGAUGUUUCCAAUUUGGCAAAGGAGAAUAACGAGACCCGUUAUUUGUUUAUAACUAUCGACACACUAUCUCGAUACUUGUGGGUAGUUCCUUUGAAAAACAAACUUCACGGAUCAAUCAUAGAAGGUUUCAAACAGAUAUUUAAAACAGGGAGAAAACCUAAAGAAGUGAGAUCCGAUCCUGGAAGUGAAUGGAAAAACAGAUGGGUUAAGUCAUUUCUCAACAAGAAAGGUGUGCAUCAUUAUGUUACACAUAACAUCACUCAUGCGAACUAUCCGGAGAGAGUCACACGCUCGCUGAAGGCUUUGAUGUAUCGAUAUUUUACGCAUGAACGGACUUACAAGUAUUUGAAAAUACUAAAACAAAUAGUAAAUAACUAUAAUUCAAGGUCCCAUAGUGCUUUGAAAGGGAAAUCACCAAAUCAGAUUACAAAAGAAAACGAAUCCAUCAUAUGGAAACGUUUGUAUAUCGACUCAUUGAAAACAAUACCAGUUAAAAAGGAAAAGAAACUGGUUAAACCAUUCAAGCUUAAACUGGGUGACUUUGUCAGAAUCUCCAACAACAGACGAACAUUUCAACGUGAUUAUGAACAAAAAUGGACAGAGGAAGUCUUUGUGAUAAAGAAUCGUUAUCUACGUCAAGGGAUUCCAAUCUAUAAGAUCACUGAUUAUGACGGGAACCCCAUUAAAGGAUCUUAUUAUGGAAGUGAACUACAGAAAGUUAAAAAGAGCAGGGAUGAUUUAUUCAAAGUGGAGAAAGUGUUAAAACGUCGCAAACGAAAUGGAAUAUCAGAAGUGCUUGUGAAAUGGCUUGGUUAUCCAAACAAAUUUAAUAGUUGGAUCAAGGAGACUGACAUUCAAGAAUUACAGUGAUAUAUAAACAGCCUUGAAUACUCUCUUUAAUCAUUUUAACGUAGAACACCAAACAGUCAACAUCGUAAAUUAUGACGUUCCAUUGUCAUAUUUGUGGAAGCAAGUAUGUUUGGGCACAUGACUUGAAUAGACAUGUAAAAAAUAAACAUCCAGAAUCAGUAGAAUUAACUUUUAAGGGCACACAACAACAGCAGGAAUAUAAUAAGUAUCAUCAUCAUCAUCAUCAGCAGCAGCAGCAGGAAUAUAAUAAGUAUCAGCAGCAGCUGCAGGAAUAUAAUAAGUAUCAUCAUCAGCAGCAGCAGGAAUAUAAUAAGUAUCAGCAGCAGCAGGAAUAUAAUGACUACCAGCCCCAGCAACACAACGAUAUUAGUGUUCAGAGGAGGGAGGAAUAUCAUGACUUACAGCAGCAGCAGCAGCAGCAGCAAGAAUCCAGUCAUGUCCUAGAUCAACAGCAAAAACAACAGGAAAUGUUCAGUUUUCAACAUCCCUUUACCUGCAUUGUUUCUGGACCAACGUCUUGUGGUAAAACAUUUUUUAUGAAGCAGUUACUACAACAGGUUAAAGAUAAAAUCCAGCCACCACCCCAAAGAAUUAUUUGGCUAUACAAGAGAUGGCAACCAUUGUACGAUAUUAUUCAAAAUACGGUGCUUCCGAGGGUCGAGUUCAUGAAGGGUGUACCUUUAAACCUUGAAAAAGAUGAUUUCAUCAAUCCUCGAGUGAGAAAUAUUAUCAUUCUCGAUGACAUGGCAGCAGAGGCAUCAAAAGAUCUUAGAGUUACGGAUCUUUUCACGGAAGGUAGCCACCACCGAAACCUCUCAGUGAUUUUGCUGAAUCAAAAUUUGUAUUUCAGUAAAGAUCCUACUCAAAGAAGAAAUUGUCACUACUUGGUAUUGUUUAACACUCCCGUUGACAAACAGCCAAUUAUGACUUUAUCAAGACAGAUGUUUCGAAACAGCCCUCGGGAACUCGGCUGACAUUUCGAAGAAGCAGUCAGCGGACCUUAUGGUUACUUACUUGUUGACUUAAAACCAACAACACCUGAAAUAUUGCGCAGAGAUAUAUUUGGUAUAAAAAGGAAGAUUCAGAGAGAUAUUGAUCAUUUUAAAGGAAACACUUGUCUAGUACAGUCGCAUGUAAAUGACACUGCAGAUAAUUCAGAAAACGUAUCUGAGUUGAACACGAGCGGAUUAGCGAAAGACCAAGAUAAUAUUUCAAAUAAAAUGCCUUCUUGCGAUGACUGUGGACUGGUCUUUGAAAACAUUCAUGACCUACAAAAACAUUGAAGGAAUGGUGUCCAGAUCAACAAUCUUUAAAACACAAAUUACUGAAUGAGGAGAACAUAUCCAGUAUAAGAAUGAAAUAUGAUCAUGAAGAUACCGAUGGCACUUUCUCAAGCACUGAUUAAGAGAGUGAUGUUUUUAUGGAAAUAGCUAAAUGGUCCAGACAACAAAAUGAAGAUAUGCGUUAUGAAAAGGUGGACAAAUAUGAGCAAGAAGGACUUCCCAGUGAUGAAGCUAUUGAAAAAGCAAAUAAAAAAAACUGCUAAAUGAGGAUCUACACGAGUUUAUGUAUAGAUACUUAACAAUAAUUUCCAACAUCUUGAAGUUGAGUGGUGGCUAUAUUCGCAGUAAAAUCAUGAAAACGGUUGAGAAAUACAUGGAACGUAACAUUGAUCAGCAGCGAGCCAUUCAACUAACAUUGAUCAAAUACAAACAUUAUUUUGAAGACGACAUUCCCUGUUUGAUACUUGUCUUUGUUUUUUUUCUGGAACCCGAGGAAGAAUGUGAAGAGGACAGUAACGAAGAUAAUGACGACAGCGAAGAAGAAACUGAUAAUGAAGACUCUGAAUAGACAUGUUACUGGAGUGUUUCAAUAUGUGUACAUAUUUUAUGCAUAGAACAGCUGCUACUUUUUUCUAUGGAUAGAUACAUUUGUGAUUCCAGCAUAACAGUUUUCAUGUAUGAUAUAUAUAU